GCUUGCUUCUCUGAUGUUAGCGGCGGACGGGUGAGUAACACGUGGAUAACCUACCUAUAAGACUGGGAUAACUUCGGGAAACCGGAGCUAAUACCGGAUAAUAUUUUGAACCGCAUGGUUCAAAAGUGAAAGACGGUCUUGCUGUCACUUAUAGAUGGAUCCGCGCUGCAUUAGCUAGUUGGUAAGGUAACGGCUUACCAAGGCAACGAUGCAUAGCCGACCUGAGAGGGUGAUCGGCCACACUGGAACUGAGACACGGUCCAGACUCCUACGGGAGGCAGCAGUAGGGAAUCUUCCGCAAUGGGCGAAAGCCUGACGGAGCAACGCCGCGUGAGUGAUGAAGGUCUUCGGAUCGUAAAACUCUGUUAUUAGGGAAGAACAUAUGUGUAAGUAACUGUGCACAUCUUGACGGUACCUAAUCAGAAAGCCACGGCUAACUACGUGCCAGCAGCCGCGGUAAUACGUAGGUGGCAAGCGUUAUCCAGAAUUAUUGGGCGUAAAGCGCGCGUAGGCGGUUUUUUAAGUCUGAUGUGAAAGCCCACGGCUCAACCGUGGAGGGUCAUUGGAAACUGGAAAACUUGAGUGCAGAAGAGGAAAGUGGAAUUCCAUGUGUAGCGGUGAAAUGCGCAGAGAUAUGGAGGAACACCAGUGGCGAAGGCGACUUUCUGGUCUGUAACUGACGCUGAUGUGCGAAAGCGUGGGGAUCAAACAGGAUUAGAUACCCUGGUAGUCCACGCCGUAAACGAUGAGUGCUAAGUGUUA
rnacentral:rRNA from 1 species